rnacentral:rRNA from 1 species
GACGGAGGGUGCAAGCGUUGUUCGGAUUGACUGGGCGUAAAGGGCGUGUAGGCGGUCGGUCAAGUCUGGUGUGAAAGCCCGGGGCUCAGCCCCGGAAGUGCAUCGGAAACUAGCUGGCUGGAGCGCGAUAGAGGAGGGCGGAAUUCCUGGUGUAGCGGUGAAAUGCGUAGAUAUCAGGAGGAACACCGGCGGCGAAGGCGGCCCUCUGGAUCGUUGCUGACGCUGAGACGCGAAAGCGUGGGGAGCAAACAGG